rnacentral:rRNA from 1 species
CCGGUGGCGGAUGGGCAUGCGGCGCAUUAGCUAGACGGCGGGGUGACGGCCCACCGUGGCGACGAUGCGUAGGGGUUCUGAGAGGAAGGCCCCCCACACUGGGACUGAGACACGGCCCAGACUCCUACGGGAGGCAGCAGUGAGGAAUAUUGGUCAAUGGGCGGAAGCCUGAACCAGCCAAGUCGCGUGAGGGAUUAAGGCCCUGCGGGUCGUAAACCUCUUUUGCCGGGGAGCAGUGGUCCGGACGCGUCCGGGCCGGGAGAGUACCCGGAGAAAAAGCAUCGGCUAACUCCGUGCCAGCAGCCGCGGUAAUACGGAGGAUGCGAGCGUUAUCCGGAUUUAUUGGGUUUAAAGGGUGCGUAGGCGGGCAUUUAAGCCGGCGGUCAAAUGUCGGGGCUCAACCCCGGCCUGCCGUCGGAACUGGGUGCCUUGAGUGGGCGAGAAGUAUGCGGAAUGCGUGGUGUAGCGGUGAAAUGCAUAGAUAUCACGCAGAACCCCGAUUGCGAAGGCAGCAUACCGGCGCCCUACUGACGCUGAGGCACGAAAGUGCGGGUAUCGAACAGGAUUAGAUACCCUGGUAGUCCGCACAGUAAACGAUGGAUGCUAUCUGUCCGGGCCGAAUGAGGCCUGGGUGGC